CGUGGGUCAUCCUUUUGGUGAUGAGUGGGCUCUUGCUCUGAGUUCACAUGAGAUCUGAUUGUUUAAAAGUGUGUGGCUCCUCCCCCGCCACUCUUUCUCUCACUUGCUCCAGCCUUCGCCAUGUGCCAUGCCUGCUCCCCACUUGCCUUCUGUCACGAUCGGAAGCUUCCUGAGGCCUCCCUAGAAGCCGAGCAGAUGCAGCCCCACGCUUCGUGUCCGGCCUGCAGAACUGAAACCGAAGCACAGCAUGACUAGUGAACUCAGCCCAAUUCACACAGAAGGCGAGAGCUGAGAUUGAAACUCAGGCAGUCUGUGUGCAGGGCCUCUGUUCUUCACCAGCAAGUUCUUCUUUCACUUGGAGUUCAUAUCUACAGCCCAGUGUUCUUUCUCACCUGCAGGAGACCGUAUCGGCCACACUCUAAUAGAUGCCAGGGAGCUCCCCGCAGGGCUGUUGUCAACAAAAGGUUCUAACCUGUGCUUACUAAAUAAGACUCCUAAAUGAUAUUUUUUGUGAAGUUAUUGUAUGUUAUGGGUUGAAUUGUGUCUUCUGCAAAAGAUAUAUUGAAUUCCUAACCCACAGCUCCUCAGAAUCUGGUCUUAUUUGGAAAUAGACUAAUUGCAGAUGUAAUUAGCUAGAGACUAUACUAGUGUAUAGGGUAGGCCCCUAAUCUGAUAUGACUGUUGUCCUUAUAGAAACACAGCCAUGUGAAGAUGAAGGCAGAGACUGGAAAAAGUGUGAAGGCAGAGUUUAUCCUGAUUGGAUUAGGAAUAAAUAGAGUCCUAUAAACCAAGGAAUGUCAAGGAUUGCUGGCCAUCCCUGGAAGCUAGGACGCUGGGACAGGUUCUCCCUCAGAGCCUCUGGAAGGAACUAACCCUGUAAAACACCUUGAUUUUGGAACUUUGGCCUUCAAAACUGAGGGAAUAAAUUUUUGGUAUUUUAAGCCACCCAGUUUGUGGUACAAGCAUACCUCAAAGACUUGCAAGUUCAGUGCCAUACCACCACAUUAAAGCAAAUAUUGCAAUAAAGUGAGUCAUACAAUUUUUUUGGUUUCCCAGUGCAUAUAACAGUUAUGUUUAUACUACGGUACAGUCUAUUAAAUGUGCAAUAGCAUUAUGUCUAAAAACAGUAUAUAUGUUAAUUAAGAGAUAUUUUAUUGCUAAAAAUGCUGAUCAUCAGAGCCUUCAGUGAGUCAUAACCUUUUUGCUAGUGGAGAGUCUUGCCUCAGUGUUCAUGGCUACUGACUGACGAGGGUGGUAGUGGCUGAAGACUGGGGUGGAUGUGGCAAUUUUUAAAAAUAAUGCAACAAUAAAGUUUGCUGCAUUGAAUGACUCUUCCUGUGAUAUUUCUCUGUGAUAUGCUGUAUUAGUUUAUC
rnacentral:lncRNA from 10 species